AUUGAACGCUGGCGGCAGGCCUAACACAUGCAAGUCGAGCGGAUGAAGGGAGCUUGCUCCUGGAUUCAGCGGCGGACGGGUGAGUAAUGCCUAGGAAUCUGCCUGGUUGUGGGGGAUAACGUCCGGAAACGGGCGCUAAUACCGCAUACGUCCUGAGGGAGAAAGUGGGGGAUCUUCGGACCUCACGCUAUCAGAUGAGCCUAGGUCGGAUUAGCUAGUUGGUGGGGUAAAGGCCUACCAAGGCGACGAUCCGUAACUGGUCUGAGAGGAUGAUCAGUCACACUGGAACUGAGACACGGACCAGACUCCUACGGGAGGCAGCAGUGGGGAAUAUUGGACAAUGGGCGGAAGCCUGAUCCAGCCAUGCCGAGUGUGUGAAGAAGGUCUUCGGAUUGUAAAGCACUUUAUGUUGGGAGGAAGGGCAGUAAGUUAAUACCUUGCUGUUUUGACGUUACCAACAGAAUAAGCACCGGCUAACUUCGCG
rnacentral:rRNA from 1 species